rnacentral:tRNA from 1 species
GGGGUUGUGGCUCAGCGGUAGAGCGCUCGCCUGGCAUGUGUGAGGCCCUGGUUUCCAUCCUCAGCAACCACA